UGCAUAGCCAAAUAAUGUAAUUUGAGAAGCAAAACUGGUCUCUCAGAAUGGAUGAUCCCAUGUGCGGUAUCCCUCACAGUAGAGAUGACAGUAAUGAGAAUGUUCUGGAAGUCUAUGCAACCCUUCCAAAAAGCUGACAACCCACUACUGCUAGGAGGCUACACCAGGAGGACCUUCGUCUUUAGAUGUCUGUCCAAUGAGCAUAAGAUUUCCUUGAAGUUUACUGAUGUUUAGACGUUUCAAGAUUGUCCAUCUUUUAAAUCUAUCGAAGCAAAAUCUUGUUACAAGAAGCUUAACAUCCUUUAUUAUGCAGAGGAAGGAAAAAGGAGGAUGCAAGUUGCUAAUUGCAUACUUGUUUUCUGCUUAUUUAUAAUAUGUCCUCAUUUGAUUUGUAAUCAUAAGAUUAUAGACAGCUGAUAUUUAUUGCUUUUGCAUAAUGUGAUAUCAGUAUAAAGAUGAUUGAUUAUGUUUGAAUAGUUCAACAAUAAAGUUAGUUCAUCAGCUUGA
rnacentral:misc_RNA from 1 species